GAUGAACGCUGGCGGCGUGCUUAACACAUGCCAGUCGAACGGAAAGGCUCCUGCUUGCAGGGUUACUCGAGUGGCGCACGGGUGAGUAACACGUGGGUGAUCUGCCCCGCACUUCGGGAUAAGCCUUGGAAACUGGGUCUCAUACCGGGUAGGACAGUGUUUUGGAUGCCAUUGUGGAAAGUUUUUUGGGCGUGGGAUGAGCUCGCGGGCUAUCCGCUUUGUGGUGGGUUAAUGGUCUACCAAGGCGUCGGCGGGUAGCCGGCCUGAGGGGGUGUACGGCGACCUUGGGACUUAGGGAAGGCCCAGACAGCGAAGGGAGGCAGAAGUGGGGAAUAUUGAACAAUGGGCGCAAGGCUGGUGCAGCGGGGCCGCGUAGGGGAUGACGGUCUUCGGGUUGUAAACUACUUGCGCUAGGGACGAAGCGUUAUGUGACGGUACCUAGAGAAGAAGCACCGGCUAACUACGUG
rnacentral:rRNA from 1 species